CAGAGAGGUAUUUAUCUCAACAGAGAUACUUUGGUGGAAAACGCUAUUUACCUUUCACAUCCUGAUUACUAAUUCAAGAAAAGUUGCAGCUGGAAGGGGAAAAAGGGAAGCUGAGCGUCCUGCCUGCAUGAACACAGAAAACAGAGCGGACAAUGAAACAAAGGGGCAAGAACUACCCACCUCUUUCACUCCAAUGAGAGGAUGGUUACCUAAUUAUAAGGGAGCAUGAGCAUCAAGAGGUACCUGUCACCAGCAUCACACAACAGAUUGAGCAGGACAUGUCACUGUUGAACAGAACAGGAAUGGAUUUCUAGCUGAUGGGCAGCAGAAGAAAUGUUGCCUAGAGAUGAAGCAAUGGGAUGCAACUCAUCAGCCAUGAG